UACGUAGGGUGCAAGCGUUAAUCGGAAUUACUGGGCGUAAAGCGUGCGCAGGCGGCUUUGCAAGACAGAUGUGAAAUCCCCGGGCUUAACCGGGGAACUGCAUCUGAUACUGGAUGGCUUGAGUUCGGAAGAGGGAUGCGGAAUUCCAGGUGUAGCGGUGAAAUGCGUAGAUAUCUGGAGGAACACCGGUGGCGAAGGCGGCAUCCUGGACCGACACUGACGCUGAGGCGCGAAAGCUAGGGGAGCAAACAGG
rnacentral:rRNA from 1 species